rnacentral:lncRNA from 1 species
UUAGUAUGUGGAGCUGAUUCCCACAUUUUUUUUUGUUGUUGUUGUUAACAGGUUUUCAGUUCUUCCUGAGAUCAAUAAAGCUUAAAAGAAAAGAAAAAGCCAACUCAGCUUGUGUGUGGCUUCUGGAUCUUGACUAAUGCAGACCCCUUUCCUGGAGUGGAAGCCAUGCUUGACAGCUCAGCUUUCUCGUCACUAAUGAGUUGGGACGUGAUUGUGCAUUCAAAAUCUAGUAAGGACUAACCCCGUGCACUUGGAUCCACACUGCUGAUUAAAUAUAGUUGAAAAGAAAUUUCUUUUAGAGGGGGGGUGUGAGAGGAGAGGAGAGGAAGGGAGAGGUGUGUGAAGUUCUUGUGUGUGCAAUGCUUCCUCUGAACCAUGGCUGUGCCAGAGGCUUGCCCAACUUUCCGUGGGGGACAGCAGAGCUGAAAUCCCACAGAUGAAAUGAAAGGAAAAAUAACUGAAAAAAAAAAACAGCAACAACUCAACACAAUCAGAAAAAAAAACGCCAAUAUAACCACCCAUGGGCCCAACUCAACAUCCAGAAGAAGCUACCCAGUAGGAACCAGAGCCACUGCCAACCCAGAGGGUGCUCCGGUGCAAGGUGAGAAAAGGCACCCUCUCUGGGCACAUGCGGCUGUACGCGGACUGAAUUUCAGGCCCCCUCAUCCCUCAACCAGGCUUCCUCAUGCAGGGAUGCCCCUCACAGCUGUGCAGGGGGCCCUGAGGGUCCACAGGACUAUGAAGCUGCAGUCUCUGACAUGAUAUGUAGAUAAAAGAUGUCACAGGGAUAAGAGCUGGAGAAAGCUUUAACGAGAAGAGCUUAGACCAUCAAAGCUCCUCCACAGUGAGUGUACGGAGGGGCCCCAGGGCUGGUGGAGCGCUGGGUGACACGCCGUGGGUGACACACUGUGGGUGAUCUGCCAUGGGUGACAUGCUGUGGCAGUGGGCUCUUGCUCAUGCUAAGGCCUCGUUCUGAUGAGCUGGUCAAUGGGGGGACUGUUUGAACAGACCAAAGAAAAAUAUCAAAAGGCAAAUUGGAGUCAGGGAGAAAAGGAAUAGCCCAUGAUCUGCCAGGGAGAUUAGAGGUAAGGACAAAGCAGUCAGGUUUUAAAAGAGGCUGUUAUUCCAAGAAAGGUAAUUUUGCUCCACUUUUUUUUUUUUAAAUGGAAAAGAGGAUGAAGAGAUCAGCACCAGCUAAAUCAUCACUGUCAGAUAAAGGAUAAAUCUUUCAUUAGGAAACAUUUCUUUGCGUGCCCUUUUGACACUGAAGAAUAUAUUUGAGGUAAGGAUUUGGGGCUUUAUCAAAACUGUGAUAUGUUAAAAUAAACAAAAGCACGAUGUCA